rnacentral:sRNA from 1 species
UUCUUGAGUGUAAAGUCCAGCAGGUGGAAGGACUAGGCCUGGGACUCCUGGGUCCCCGGCAGUGUCUGGAGGCAUGGCUGGGGCUGGCAGGGGCCUCGGGGUCUGGGGGAACCUGGUGCUGCUGGGCCUGUGCAGCUGGACAGGGGCCAGGGCGCCCGACCCUCCUUCCCAAUUCUCAGCCCCCAACCCAGGGAGGAACCUGACAGUGGAGACUCAGACCACCAGCUCCAUCUCCCUGAGCUGGAAGGCCCCUGAUGGCACAGACUCACAGAACUCCAACUAUUCGGUUCAGUGCACUGGAGAUGGUGGCAGAUCAGAGACUCGAACCACAAGAUACACCGUCAUUGUGUAUGGACUUGGACCCGGGUCAUUGUAUACGUGUUCUGUGUCGGUGGAGAAAGACGGAGUAAAUAGCUCUGUGGGGACUGUCACUGGUGCCACAGCUCCCAACCCAGUGAGGAACCUGAGAGUGGAGGCUCAGACCAACAGCUCCAUCACCCUGACCUGGGAGGCCGAUGGCCCAGACCCACAGAACUCCACCUACUGGGUUGAGUACACUGGAGAUGGUGGCACAGCAGGGACUCGAAGCACAGCAAACACCAACAUCACCGUGGAUGGACUUGAACCCGGGUGUUUGUAUGCGUUUUCCGUGUGGGUGGGGAAGAAUGGAAUCAACAGCUCCCGGGAGACUCGAAAUGCCACCAUAGCCGCCUACCCAGUGAGGAACCUGACAGUGGAGGCUCAGACCACCAGCUCCAUCUCCCUGAGCUGGGAGGUCCCCGAUGGCACAGACUCACAGAACUCCACCUAUUGCGUUCAGUGCACUGGAGAUGGUGGCAGAACAGAGACUCGAAACACAACAGACACCAGAGUCACCGUGGAUGGACUUGGACCCGGGUCAUUGUAUACGUGUUCUGUGUGGGUGGAGAAAGACGGAGUAAAUAGCUCUGUGGAGAUUGUCACUAGUGCCACAGCUCCCAACCCAGUGAGAAACCUGACAGUGGAGGCUCAGACCAACAGCUCCAUCACCCUGACCUGGGAGGCCGAUGGCCCAGACCCACAGAACUCCACCUACUGGGUUGAGUACACUGGAGAUGGUGGCACAGCAGGGACUCGAAGCACAGCAAACACCAACAUCACCGUGGAUAGACUUGAACCCGGGUGUUUGUAUGCGUUUUCCGUGUGGGUGGGGAAGAAUGGAAUCAACAGCUCCCGGGAGACUCGAAAUGCCACCACAGCCCCCAACCCAGUGAGAAACCUCCAUAUGGAGACUCAGACCAACAGCUCCAUCGCCCUGAGCUGGGAAGUCCCUAGUGGCCCAGACCCUCAGGACUACACCUACUGGGUAGAGUACACUGGAGACGGUGGUGGCACAGAGACCCGAAACACAACAAAUAUCAGUGUGACAGCUGAGGGACUUGAGCCCGGAACCUUGUACACAUUCUCUGUAUGGGCAGAAAAAAAUGGAGCACGUGGCUCCAGGCAGAAUGUCAGCUUCUCCACAGUCCCCAACGCAGUGACAAGCCUCAGCAAGCAGGACUGGACCAACAGCACCAUUGCUUUGCGCUGGACAGCUCCCGAGGGCCCAGGCCAGUCUUCCUACAGCUACUGGGUCUCAUGGGUCAGGGAAGGCAUGACUGACCCCAGGACCCAAAGCACCUCAGGUACUGACAUCACCCUAAAGGAACUGGAAGCUGGCAGCCUGUACCACCUCACCGUCUGGGCCGAGAGGAAUGAGGUCAGAGGCUAUAACAGCACCCUCACUGCAGCCACCGCUCCCAAUGAGGUCACAGAUCUCCAGAAUGAAACUCAGACUAAGAACUCAGUCAUGCUGUGGUGGAAGGCCCCUGGAGACCCCCACUCUCAGUUGUACGUAUACUGGGUCCAGUGGGCCAGCAAGGGACAUCCCCAGAGGGGGCAAGAUCCCCAAGCGAAUUGGGUCAACCAGACCAGCAGGACCAAUGAGACGUGGUACAAGGUGGAGGCCCUGGAACCCGGGACGCUGUACAAUUUCACCGUGUGGGCAGAGAGGAAUGACGUAGCCAGUUCCACGCAGAGCCUCUGUGCGUCCACAUACCCAGACGCAGUCACCAUCACUUCCUGUGUCAGCACCUCAGCGGGCUAUGGAGUCAACUUGAUCUGGUCCUGCCCCCAGGGAGGCUACGAGGCCUUUGAGUUGGAGGUGGGAGGACAGCGGGGCUCCCAGGACAGAUCUUCAUGUGGGGAGGCUGUGUCUGUGUUGGGUCUCGGGCCGGCUCGGUCCUACCCAGCCACCAUCACGACCAUCUGGGACGGAAUGAAGGUCGUGUCUCACUCUGUGGUCUGCCACACCGAGAGUGCAGGAUUGCUGAGAAGCUGCAGCUUGGGGGCCUUCAAGGCUGAUGAAGAUGGGCCAUAGGCUUGAGCCUACCCUAAGAUGAGACAUCUAAUGACAGAUCUUGGGAGGACUGUGCCAUCAGAGCCUGAGAGCACCCAUAGACACCACCAGAUCAGCCGGGCACCGUGGCUCACGGCUGUAAUCCCAGCACUUUUGGAGGCCGAGGCGGGCAGAUCACCUGCGGUUGGGAGUUCAAGACCAGCCUGACGAACAUGGAGAAACCCUGUCUCUACUAAAAAUACAAAAAAUU